CCGACCUCAUCAGAUCGCCGUCUUAGAAUUGGAACCGCAAAGAGGACAUGAACAUCCGGUACUAGCUGAACAUGAUUUUUUUGCAAGAAUUUCACCUGUAUGCAGUUUGUUUUUCAAGAUAAGCCAAAUGAACACCUUCACCUUGUUCAGAAUCGCAGCCUUCCAAAUUACAUUAGAGAAUGGGCUGAUCAAAUGCAGAUACCAUCCCUAUAUAGUUUCCAUGUAGGCGAGUCAUCCAAGUGGAGAGUCUGAUAGGAGAAAGAAGAUCGUAGGUGCACCAAUUG
rnacentral:lncRNA from 1 species